AUGACGGCCUUCGGGUGUAAACCGCUUUCAGCAGGGAAGAAGCGAAAGUGACGGUACCUGCAGAAGAAGCGCGGCUAACUACGUGCCAGCAGCCGCGGUAAUACGUAGGGCGCGAGCGUUAUCCGGAAUUAUUGGGCGUAAAGAGCUCGUAGGCGGUUUGUCACGUCUGCUGUGAAAGCCCGAGGCUCAACCUCGGGUGUGCAGUGGGUACGGGCAGACUAGAGUGCAGUAGGGGAGACUGGAAUUCCUGGUGUAGCGGUGAAAUGCGCAGAUAUCAGGAGGAACACCGAUGGCGAAGGCAGGUCUCUGGGCUGUUACUGACGCUGAGGAGCGAAAGCAUGGGGAGCGAACAGGAUUAGAUACCCUGGUAGUCCAUGCCGUAAACGUUGGGCACUAGGUGUGGGGGACAUUCCACGUUUUCCGCGCCGUAGCUAACGCAUUAAGUGCCCCGCCUGGGGAGUACGGCCGCAAGGCUAAAACUCAAAGGAAUUGACGGGGGCCCGCACAAGCGGCGGAGCAUGCGGAUUAAUUCGAUGCAACGCGAAGAACCUUACCAAGGCUUGACAUGGACCGGAUCGCUGCAGAGAUGCAGUUUCCCUUCGGGGUCGGUUCACAGGUGGUGCAUGGUUGUCGUCAGCUCGUGUCGUGAGAUGUUGGGUUAAGUCCCGCAACGAGCGCAACCCCUAUCCUAUGUUGCCAGCACGUUAUGGUGGGGACUCAUGGGAGACUGCCGGGGUCAACUCGGAGGAAGGUGGGGACGACGUCAAAUCAUCAUGCCCCUUAUGUCUUGGGCUUCACGCAUGCUACAAUGGCCGGUACAAUGGGUUGCGAUACUGUGAGGUGGAGCUAAUCCCUAAAAGCCGGUCUCAGUUCGGAUCGAAGUCUGCAACUCGACUUCGUGAAGUUGGAGUCGCUAGUAAUCGCAGAUCAGCAACGCUGCGAUAAUACGUUCCCGGGCCUUUUUUUUUUUUUCCGUCUUCUCUCCAAAGUGGGUAACACCUAAAGCCGGUGGCCUAA
rnacentral:rRNA from 1 species